rnacentral:tRNA from 1 species
GCACGGGUAGUUCAGUGGUAGAAUUUUCACCUUCCAUGCGGGAGAUCUGAGUUUGAUUCCCAGCCGGUGGG